GUGCAACUGGACCCUUUGCUGGGCAUGAGCCUGAUGGCAGGGAAAGCACUUAGUUCUGCCCGGAUGGCCGAUGCGGUUUUCAGCCAGACCUCCCUGGUGGGCAGCCAGACCCUCCCCGAGGGAGAGAGGAGGGACGGUGGGGAACACCUGGAAGGCCAGGAGCAGCCCGGCUUGGGGGAGGGCAGCCAGCAUCUCAACGCCUCCUGCUACCCCUCCACCUGUGUCACCGACGUCCUGCUGAGCUACCGGCACGCGGAGCUUCCCUUCGGGGUGGAGCAAGCCGGGGUGUAGCAAGGCGAUGGCAGCCGUUGGGCACCGCUCCGCAGUGAGAAGGUCCAUUUCACACCGACAGUAUCUUGCAGCCUUGCACCAAACAGCCAUCGCAUUUCUCUGGGAAGGAAGGAAACCUCAUGGCGGUGGUGGCUCUUCCUGCUCCUCCUCCUCCUCCUCCUCCUCCUCCUCCUCGUUGGUCCAAGAGCGCGCUUGUCCCUUUCGGAUGUUCGUCAUGGCCAUAUCUGCCUGUGAUGCCAGCUGUUCCGGAAGCGCCAACCGCCCCUCCGGGGGCUGCCAACAUGGACUGACCACAACCACGAGGGCAGCAGGCGCCUCCCUGGCCUCGCUGGAGCCAGCAAUAAGCAGACUGUGGGACUGGGCCUUUCCAGGGACCGAGGAGGGGCUGGGCUGGGCUGGGGCUGUCUUCAUGCCUGCCUGCCUUCUGUUGCUCGACACCCCCAAAAACCCCUCCAGAUUCAGGCUCUCCCCCUCCCCCCCCCCGGUCCCCUCCCGGCCGCGGUGCAAUAUUGCUUUUGUGUCUCAUUUAUUGACUUUUCUGUGUUUGGAUUUUGUCAUUGUGCUUAAACAUCCUUUUUUUCUCUUUUUGUACCUCUUUUCCAUUCAUAUCAUGUGCUCUCUUUCCUCCUUUAGUUUAAUUCUGAGAAAGUUUGGUUCUUGUUUUUUAACUUGUUUCCCUCCAGAUCAUGUAGGAAUUUGUUUUGGUAAACUUUUUGGUAUUAUUAUUAUUAUUAUUAUUAAUAUUAAUAAAUUAAUUCAGACUGCCUUCCUGCCCCCGGCCGUGCUGCUUGACCCCCGCUCCCUGCCCUUGUCUCGGCUCUUCCCCGGGCCUGGCAUUUGGGCUGCGGCCUGCCCUGCCCUCUGGGGGAGCCCCCCUUUUGGGGACUGGCCGGGCGAAGGGCCUCUUGGGUGCCUCAGAGGGCCUGGCACCCUCUUCCUGCCUUUGGGGGCCUUCGGAAGCUCCCCCCCCCCGAGAAUCCCUGUUACUGACUCUUUGGGAGAGUCUUUUUAA
rnacentral:lncRNA from 1 species